rnacentral:rRNA from 1 species
GUAGGGAAUAUUGGACAAUGGGGGGAACCCUGAUCCAGCCAUGCCGCGUGGAGGAAGACUGCCCUCUGGGUUGUAAACUCCUUUUAUAUGGGAAGAACCGUCCUCAUUAAUGAGUGACCUGACGGUACCAUAGGAAUAAGCACCGGCUAACUCCGUGCCAGCAGCCGCGGUAAUACGGAGGGUGCAAGCGUUAUCCGGAUUCACUGGGUUUAAAGGGUGCGUAGGCGGAUAAAUCAGUCAGUGGUGAAAUCAACGGGCUCAACCUGUUAACUGCCAUUGAUACUGUGUAUCUUGAAUAUGAGAGAGGUAGGCGGAAUGUUGCAUGUAGCGGUGAAAUGCUUAGAUAUGCUACGGAACACCGAUUGCGAAGGCAGCUUACUAUUUCGUAAUUGACGCUGAGGCACGAAAGCGUGGGUAGCGAACAGGAUUAGAAACCCGUGUAGUCC